rnacentral:rRNA from 1 species
UGUAAGCGUAUACCAAAGUUGUUGCAGUUAAAACGCUCGUAGUCGGGAUUUGGCAGUUCCGGAUGUGUGCACGUCGUGUGCGCACUUCGCGGGGAUUGCUUUUGUGGUCUUGCGUAGGAUGAGGCACUUUUAUUAGUGAACGUCCUCACGCAACCACUUUUUACUGUGAGAAAAUCAGAGUGCUCAAAGCAGGCAUUUGCCGUGAAUGUAUUAGCAUGGAAUAAUAGAAUAGGACUUGGUUCUAUUUUGUUGGUUUGUUGGGACUGAGUAAUGAUUAAGAGGGACAGUUGGGGGCAUUUGUAUUUCGGUGCUAGAGGUGAAAUUCUUAGAUUACCGAAAGACAAACUGCUGCGAAAGCGUCUGCCAAGGAUGUUUUCAUUGA